UUUUUUUUUUUUUUUUUUUUUUUUUAAUGCAGGCUCCACAUGGGACUUGAACUCAAUUCUAAGAUCGACUAAGCCAGCCAGGGACCCCUAAUUUGUAUUUUUCUAAAUGUGCUUUUCAAAUAGGGAUUAUGGGUCCCCUUUUUCUUUUUUUAAAGAUUUUAUUUAUUCAUGAGAGACACACAGAGAGAGGCAGAGACAACAGGCAGAGCAGGCUCCAUGCAGGGAGCCCGAUGUGGAGCCCGAUGUGGAACUCGAUCCCGGGACCCUGGGGUCACGCCCUGAGCCAAACAGACUCUCAACCGCUGAGCCACCCAGGCGUCCUUGGUCCCUUUUUUCUUAACUGAAAUUGAAGACCUAGACCAAAGAGGUUAAGCCAGAGAGCUUAAUGAAUAUUUGAAUUUUCUGAUAAUCCUUCCAGUGCCUUUUAAGGAUAUUUUUGAUAGUACAGUAUAUUAUUAAAGUUAAUUCAAAUUAUCAGUCCUUUCUUGGCUCUUUUUGGGAGAAAAUAGAGUGAAAUCAUCAGUUUUUAAAUAACUAUUUCAUAAGCCGGUUAUCAAGAAGUAACAUUUAUCUGUGCUAAUUCACAAAAGGUGAAAAUCUUUUAAUCUGGUGACAGUUCUUUAAAAUGUAAAGCCCCAUGAAAGAAAAACCAUAUAGCAAGGACAAGAUACUUUGAGGACUUUUUGCUGUUUCCUGGGUGACAAAACUACCCAUCUUGUCCAAAAGCUAUUGAAUAUAAGCUCCCACACCACAACUGAAUCCGAUAUUCGUAUUUUAAAGCCUAAAAAUGUUUCAAUUGAAGAAGUGGUAUAGGUGGUUUCUCCUCUUCAAAGACUAAGGCCCAUGGUAGUGGCACAGGGAAUUUAGGAAGGGUGUAAUUUUGGAUGGGCCUUUCUGAAGAUGGUCAGAUGGCGCCUGUUCGCUGACUGAUGGUCUUUGGUGUGUCCCUUUGAGGCUGACCUGGCGGUCCCAAGUCCCCAGCAAUUAGUCCACCGCUCUGCUGGAACUAACGCUGUGCUGCUGCCCCUUCCAGUCAGACAUUUAAAAGAUCACCAACUGGAUAAAGAGUGAUUUGCAAAAUAGUCAUCACGUAAAAGAAAUUCUUCUCUGCGGAAUGUCUGACAAGGAUAUGAUUCUAAAAAAUUAGGGAUUUCCUUAAAUGCAGAAUGAAGAGCUAAAGCUUAAGAGGGGUAUUGGUUGAGAGGUUCAUUCAAUAUGGGAAGUGGCUUACUUGUCCCUCUUCACUGACGGCGAGUCUUAGGAAAUGGGCGGCUUUAGUUAGACGAAACAUGGGCAGGGUUUGUGAUUCAGAUUAUUAAAAGUGAAGAAUCCAAAAAUUGGCUUUUAAAAAUAUAUUGUCAGGGGGCCAGGUGGCUCAGUCGGUCCGACCCUUGAGUUUUGCUCAGGUCAUGAUCUCCAGAGUAUGGUAUUGAGGCCCGCUCCGCACUCCCGAGGAGCCUGCUGAGAUUUUUUCUCUCCCUUCCCUGUGCACCUCCCCCAUCUCGCAAAUAAAUCUUUUAUUUAUUUUUGUAAAGACUUCGUUUAUUCAGGAGAGACAGAGAAAGGCAGAGACACAGGCAGAGGGAGAAGCAGGCUCCAUGCAGGGAGCCCGAGGUCAGACUUGAUCCCUGGACCCUGGGACCCCAGGAGGGAGUCAAAGGCAGACACUCAACCACUGUACCACCCAGGCGCUUCACUUUCCUGAAUUUUCAUCUUAUUUCACUAUUCCACAAUUGUUUCUAGCUUUACUGUAUCUUAUUGAACUUUAAUUUAGGACCUAGAAUUUUUACCGCACUUGAAAAUGGCCUGGGGAAGAAACAUUUGUUUUAUCAAGUGGAACUAAUGUUCUUUUUUUAAAAAAGAUUUUAUUUAUUCGAGUCAGAGACAAUGCAGGGAGGAGCAGAGGGAGACGGACAAGUAGGCUUGGUGCUGAGUGCAGAGCCCAACACGGGGCUCAAUGGCAGGACCCCAAGAUCGUGACCUGAGCCUAAGUCAGGAGUCUGCUGCUUAACCGACUGGGCCACCCAGGCACCUGAAGACUGAUUUUCUUGUAUAGCAUAUAGGAUUCAGUCUUCUGUUUCAUGCAUUUGAUUUUAAACUCUAAUGGCCAUUCUACAACCCACCCCCCAUAUUUCACCUUCUAUAUGUAGGUGUGUUGGUUUUUUUUUUUUUUUAAGAUUUUAUUUGUUUAUUUGAGAGAGAGUUGGAGCAGAAGGGAGGGAGAGAAAGAUGGAGAGAUUUUCACUGAGUGUGGAGUUCGUUGUGGUACUUGAUCCCACCACACUGAGAUGACAACCUGAGUUGAGACCAAGACUGAGAUGCUUAACCAACUGAGCCACCCGAACACCCCUAAUAUAUGUAGUUUUUUUUUUUUAAUAUGUAGUUUUUAAGUGAAAUUAUACAUGGGUUUAGAAGAACUAUAGACAAUGUAUGAAUUUCACCAAGAAUGUGUAAGCAAACCUGGGAAUAAACAUUUUAGGUUUUGCCUGCAAUUUCAUAUGUAAACCCAAGAAAAAAACUUGUAGCUUAAAAGACCUACUUUGUUGCAAAAUAUAUAUGUGACACUUCAAAAGAUUUUCAGUUUUGGAUUCAUUUGUGAGUGGGGACCUAACAAAAAAAAUGAAUAAUAAGCAGAUUCAGGAUUUAGGAGGCGAUUUGUGUUUCUGUUUUCCUAAACAUUCUAUGUGGAGCAUUGUACUGGUGCUCUGAAAGAUAUACAAAAUGUACCAUAUAAUUCACUUCUUUGAGGAACUUAAAAACCUAGGGGAGAAUUAUCUAAGAGAUAGAAGAGAAUUCAGAGACAUUAAAGAUGGAGGAGGUAAAAUUAGUACUUGUAGAAAGUAGUGCAAAGCUUAAGCGUCAACCAAAAGUAUCUCAAAACUAAUAAAGCCACGGGGUGUAAAAUUAAUCUCAGAAAUUAAAAGCUUUCAUUCAUAUAAACAACAGCCAAUGAGAAGACAUACUGGAAGAAAAAGCUUCUUUUAAAGUAAAGACAGAGGGGGGGCCUCUGGAUGACUCAGGUGGUUAAGCGUCCCGCUCUUGGUUUUGGCUCAGGUCCUGAUCUCAGGGUCAUGGGAUCAGCACCCCAUCAGGCCCUGGGCUCAGCACAGAGUCUACUUAAGAUUCUCUCUCCUUCUGCCCCUCCCCCUUCUCUCUCCUCUCAAAGUGAAUAAAUAAAAUCUUUUACAAAAAAAUAAGAACAAAGGAGAGAACACCUAGGAAUAAAUCAUAGGCAAGACCCCGAAAAGAAAACUUUCUUUUUCCUGAAAAAGAAAGCACAAACACAUGGAGAGGCAUGCCAUACUUCUGGAUAGGAAGACUUAACCAACAUAAACAUGCCAAUUAUUUGUAAGUUAAUCUAUAAAUGUAAUGCCAUCUCAAUAAAAAUAUUAGGAUUUUCCAAAACCAGAAAGCUGAUUCCAAAGUUCCUAUGAAGAAGCUCAGUAAGACUAGCCAGGACAGCUCUGAAAACAGUAGUGAGGACAGACUAGCCUUACAAAAUACUGAAAACAGAAAACUGCAGUAAUGAAAGCAGUCUGGUACUGACAUGUGACCAGACAGAUCAUUAGGAUAAAACAGACGCAGAUAGUGGAAUUUAGCACAAGAUAAAGGUGACAUUUCAAUUCAGUGAGGAAAGUAUGGUUUAUCCAUUAAGUGUCAGGACACCUGCAUAGCUAUUUGCAGGAAUAAACAAAAGCUGGAAUCAUACCUCAUACCAAAAUAAAAUCCAAUGUUAAAUGUGAAAACUGAAAUGUUUAAAGUACUUGAAGAAAUCAUAGAAUCUUAAAACAUUCAGUGUAGUGAAAGCUUUUCUAAGUUUGGUAUAAAAUCCAGAAACAAUAAAAAAGAUAUUAACUGUUAAGUUCAUAAUAAUGUAUAAUAUACAUAUAAUAAUGGUAAUGUCAUGAUAUAUAUAAAAUAAAUUACCCCUCUCAGGAGUGCCUGGGUGGCACAGUCCGUUGAGCAUCUACCUUUGGCUCAGGUCAUGAUCCCAGGGUCCUGGGACUGGGCCCCAAAUCAGCCUCCCUGCUCCCCGUUGAAGUUGGACCAGGAGGAAGUAGUCCCAAAUCUUGUCUCUGAUAAAGAACCUGUAUCCAAAAUGUAUAAGGAAAUCUCAAAAAUAAAUUUAAAAAUAGAUUAUUUGAACAGACAUGGCACUAAGAAGAUAAACAGAAGUCAAGCCCGUGAAAGAGUGUUCGACAUCACUUUCUCUCUCUGCCUCUCUCUCCCCCUCUCCCUGCAGCUCUCCCUGCUUCUGCUCUCUCUGUCAAAGGAGUAAAUAAAAUCUUUAAAAAAAAUAUUCCUCAUCUCAAAAAUCACCUUAAGCAAAGAGAAAUUACAGAUUUGGAAAAAAGAAUUGCAAAUCAUACCAUGCAUUGCUUAAUAUAUAAAGAACUCCUAGAAUUCAAUAAGGAAAAAAAA
rnacentral:lncRNA from 1 species